CCUACGGGUGGCAGCAGUCGAGAAUCAUUCACAAUGGGGGAAACCCUGAUGGUGCGACGCCGCGUGGGGGAAUGAAGGUCUUCGGAUUGUAAACCCCUGUCAUGUGGGAGCAAAUUAAAAAGAUAGUACCACAAGAGGAAGAGACGGCUAACUCUGUGCCAGCAGCCGCGGUAAUACAGAGGUCUCAAGCGUUGUUCGGAAUCACUGGGCGUAAGGCGUGCGUAGGCUGUUUCGUAAGUCGGGUGUGAAAGGCGCGGGCUCAACCCGCGGACGGCACAUGAUACUGCGAGACUGGAGUAAUGGAGGGGGAACCGGAAUUCUCGGUGUAGCAGGGAAAUGCGUAGAUAUCGAGAGGAACACUCGUGGCGAAGGCGGGUUCCUGGACAUUAACUGACGCUGAGGCACGAAGGCCAGGGGAGCGAAAGGGAUUAGAUACCCUAGUAGUC
rnacentral:rRNA from 1 species